rnacentral:rRNA from 1 species
AAACCAACAGGGAUUGCCUUAGUAGCGGCGAGUGAAGCGGCAAGAGCUCAAAUUUGAAAUCUGGUACCUUCGGUGCCCGAGUUGUAAUUUGAAGAAGGUAUUCUUGGAGUUGGCCCUUGUCUAUGUUCCUUGGAACAGGACGUCACAGAGGGUGAGAAUCCCGUGCGAUGGGGUGUCCAAUUCUAUGUAAGAUUCCUUCGAAGAGUCGAGUUGUUUGGGAAUGCAGCUCUAAGUGGGUGGUAAAUUCCAUCUAAAGCUAAAUAUUGGCGAGAGACCGAUAGCGAACAAGUACAGUGAUGGAAAGAUGAAAAGAACUUUGAAAAGAGAGUGAAAAAGUACGUGAAAUUGUUGAAAGGGAAGGGCUUUAGAUCAGACUUGGUAUUUAGUGAUCGUUUCUCCUUGUGGGUUGCGCUCUCGCUUUUUACUGGGCCAGCAUCGGUUUGGAUGGCAGGAUAAUGACAGUUGAAUGUGGCUUCGCUUCGGUGGAGUGUUAUAGCUUCUGUUGAUACUGCCUAUCUAGACCGAGGUCUGCGUCUUAUGACUAGGAUGUUGGCGUAAUGAUCUAAAGCCGC